rnacentral:tRNA from 3 species
AGAUAAUUAGUUUAAAAAAACCUUUGAUUUCGACUCAAAAACUUAUGGUUAAAAUCCAUAAUAAUCUA